rnacentral:other from 3 species
AGAGUCCUGAGGUGUACGUGCAUAACUGUACGUUUUGAGCCAACACUUUUGAAUAAGGGAGCUUGUUGUCUCCUCAUGGAUUACAUGCCCUUUCUCAUAGAUGAGGGACGUAAGAAGUGAUGAGCAGAGCACCCACCUGCCGAGGGCAGGUUCAAAACCAAAGUUUUCGACGGCACAUUUGGGACUCUU